AUACGUAGGGGGCAAGCGUUGUCCGGGAUUAUUGGGCGUAAAGCGCGCGCAGGCGGUUGUUUAAGUCUGGUGUAUAAGCCCAGGGCUCAACCUUGGGAGGCACCGGAAACUGGGCAACUGGAGUCCAGGAGAGGAAAGUGGAAUUCCACGUGUAGCGGUGAAAUGCGUAGAGAUGUGGAGGAACACCAGUGGCGAAGGCGACUUUCUGGCCUGAAACUGACGCUGAGGCGCGAAAGCGUGGGAGCAAACAGGAUUAGAUACCCUGGUAGUCCACGCCGUAAACGAUGAAUGCUAGGUGUUAGGGGUUUUGAUACCCUUGGUGCCGAAGUUAACACAUUAAGCAUUCCGCCUGGGGAGUACGGUCGCAAGACUGAA
rnacentral:rRNA from 1 species